UCAUUUCAAACGCUGAAUUCCCGAAUAGGGAAAUGGGGGAACCAACCGAGCCACGAAAAAUGUGGUUUCAUGGGGUGAAUCCUUAUGCUUGCAACACAAGCACUUAGGUAGGGCACUCUCAAGCCCGAAUCCGACAGCUAACCUCGUAAGCGUAGUUGAGAGAGAAC
rnacentral:sRNA from 2 species